UACGGAGGAUGCAAGCGUUAUCCGGAAUGAUUGGGCGUAAAGCGUCCGCAGGUGGCUUUGUAAGUCUGCUGUUAAAGAGUGAGGCUCAACCUCAUAAGAGCAGUGGAAACUACAAGGCUAGAGUACGUUCGGGGCAGAGGGAAUUCCUGGUGUAGCGGUGAAAUGCGUAGAGAUCAGGAAGAACACCGGUGGCGAAAGCGGCGCUCUGGAACGGCCCUGACACUGAGGCUCGAAAGCGUGGGGAGCAAACAGG
rnacentral:rRNA from 1 species